rnacentral:misc_RNA from 1 species
AAAGGUGCAUGAGUGGUGUUUGGUUUUGUACGGGUGGUUGGCUCUUUGCUUGCGCAACAACUUCCACCUGGCAUACCUCUUCAGUUUUGGGUCAAUGCUUGUUUCGCUUGAGCAUAUUGGGGGUUUCCUGUGCUGCCUACCUAGUUGACGGUAUAGUUUUGAUUUAUCGAAGUCCCUUUUCAUCUUGUGUUGCUUUUGUGACUCGUGGUGAACCUUGAAGCGGUCUCUAUGAUCCAUCCUGUUGAUGCACAUGCAUUGAUGGUGUGGCCUAUUGAGUGUUGCUUGGUAUCCUGGAUACAGAACAUGAAGUGGGCAUGGGGUCUUUUAUGGCUCUUGUAUUGUCCUCGUUCAGUGUUCUUUUAAACGACGGUUCAUGCGCGCCUAGGCUCGUACCUGCGUGAUGUACUUUGUCGAAGAGGAAUGCUACCUGGUUGAUCCUGCCAGUAGUCAUAU